rnacentral:rRNA from 1 species
AGUGGAUGGGGAGCAACCUAGUUGUGCGUGUGUAAAGGUAGUGCCAAGAAAAGCGGUGAUCAUGAUGAAAAUCAAUUCCCGGUACCCGAAACCGACACAGGUGGGCAAGUAGAGAAUACUAAGGGGCGCGAGGUAACUCUCUCCAAGGAACUCGGCAAAAUGACCCCGUAACUUAGGGAGAAGGGGUGCCACCGAGAGGUGGUCGCAGUGAAGAGGCCCAGGCGACUGUUUAGCAAAAACAUAGGUCUCUGCAAACUCGAAAGAGGAGGUAUAGGGGCUGACGCCUGCCCAGUGCCGGAAGGUUAAAGAAGUUGGUCAGUCUUAGGAUAAAGCUAGCGACUGAAGCCCCGGUGAACGGCGGCCGUAACUAUAACGGUCCUAAGGUAGCGAAAUUCCUUGUCGGGUAAGUUACGACCCGCACGAAAGGCGUAACGAUCUGGGCGCUGUCUCGGAGAGAGGCUCGGCGAAAUAGGAUUGUCUGUGAAGAUACGGACUACCUGCAUUUGGUCAGAAAGACCCUAUGAAGCUUUACUAUAGCUUGGAAUUGUGUUCGGGCUUCCUGUGCGCAGGAUAGGUGGGAGGCGUAGAAGGUAUUCUUGUGGGGAUACUGGAGCCAACGGUGAGAUACCACUCUCAGGAGGCUAGAAUUCUAACUUAAUUAAGGACAGUUUCAGGUGGGUAGUUUGACUGGGGCGGUCGCCUCCAAAAAGGUAACGGAGGCGUACAAAGGUUCCCUCAGACUGGUUGGAAAUCAGUCGAAGAGUGCAAAGGCAGAAGGGAGCUUGACUGCGAGAAGUACAGUUCGAGCAGGGUGGAAACACGGUCUUAGUGAUCCGACGGUGCUGUGUGGAAGGGCCGUCGCUCAACGGAUAAAAGUUACUCUAGGAUAACAGGCUGAUCUCCCCCAAGAGUUCACAUCGACGGGGAGGUUUGGCACCUCGAUGUCGGCUCAUCGCAACCUGGGGCGGAAGUACGUCCCAAGGGUUGGGCUGUUCGCCCAUUAAAGCGGUACGUGAGCUGGGUUCAGAACGUCGUGAGACAGUUCGGUCCAUAUCCGAUGUAGGCGUGAGAAUAUUGAGAGGAGCCUUCCUUAGUACGAGAGGACCGGGAAGGACGCACCGCUGGUGUACCUGUUAUGAUGCCAAUUGUAAACGCAGGGUAGCCAAGUGCGGAGAGGAUAACCGCUGAAAGCAUCUAAGUGGGAAGCCCACCUCAAGAUGAGUAUUCUGGUGUAAGGUCACGGGAAGACGACCCGUAAAUAGGCACGAGGUGGAAGUGCAGAGAUGUAUGAAGCCGAAGUGUACUAAUAGACCGUCGGC